GAUGGUCCUGCCUGGCACACAGUGCCAGCAUGCUCCAAAACACCUCUGCAAGCAGCCCCGCAGGACUCUCCUUAAACGGGCAGCCCAGCCCUCUGUCUCCCACCCCAGCCGUCCACCAGCCCUCCAGGCUGCACCGCUGGGCACCGCUCCCUACCCAGCCCCUUCUACAUCCCUACAUCCAUUCUGUUCCAGGCAAGUCUCACCAAUUCUGUUCCUAAGUACUUUUCAGACUGGGCUCAGGCCCUCCAUGACUAACACCAUGGUGCUACUAUGAGCCUCCCUGCAUUUUCCCUGGAGGAGCAGGAGGAUGGUGGGAGGGGGAGCAGCAGGGGGUCUUUAUGCUCUGCUGAGGAUGUGGCAGAUGCUGCACCAGAUACAUCGCUGGUGGGUCUGCGCCGGCUUCACAGAUGAGGUCACCGAGGCUCACAGCAACCUGGCCUCAGCCCCUGCUCCUCGCCCCACGCUGUGCUUUACUUUUUACCUUGCAUGGUGUCUGGCGUACACAAAACAGUCAGUAAGGCCGGGAGCAGUGGUUCACAUCUGUAUUCUCAGCACUUUGGGAAGCCAAGGUGGAUGGACUGCUUGAGGCCAGGAGUUCAAGACCAGUCUGGGCAACACAGCUAAGCCCUGUCUCUACUAAAAAUACAAAAAUUAGCUGGGCGUGGUGGUGCAUGCCUGUAGUCCCAGCAACUCGGGAGGCUGAGGCGGGAGGAGCCCUUGAGCCUGGGGAGGUGGAGA
rnacentral:lncRNA from 10 species